AUGGGCAGCAAGAGCAAAAAUUCUGUAACAGAACAGAGAGGCAAGCAUGGCUCCACAAGCUCACUAACGGUUACUCCUUCCUUUUGGUUCAAAUGGGAACCAAUAAUACUGCAAAACAUAGUCUUCAGCAUGUCAAAAGGAAUUAUGAGACUCUUGGUAAGAAGCCGAACAACCUUGGUGAGUAGGUUGCAUCUCCAUUUUACUACCUAUUUCAAGGAAAUGCGGAGCCAAGCAUAGACAUCCUAGACUUUUAAAAAGCUGAUUUCAGUAACCUGAGAGAAACACCGGGUAUGAUCCAGUAGCCAGGAAUGCUAUGAUCACUAAAAGUCAACAUUGAUUCCCUCAAAACAAGUCACACCAAACAAGUCUUAUCUGUUUUUUGGGAGAGUUCCAAGCUUUAUAGGUUAAGAGAAUGCGUGAAUGUAGCAUAUCUUCAACAGGAUUCCCCAUUAUAUUCUUGCAAACAAGCUAAUAAAACAUGGUCUACAUAAUGGCACUGUUAGGCAGAGGCGGUCCAACAAUGAGGCGAAUUAGGCAGUCGCCUGUGGCACAAAACAUACAGGGGCGCAGUUGAGAUUGCUUUUUCUGUUGAUUUGUUGUAAAACAUGAUGUUUUGGUGCUUAGUUUGUAAAAUCUUAAUGUAAUUUGAUGUUUAAUAGGUUUUCCCUUAAUCCCUUCUUAUUAUCCAACAUUUUCGCUUAUCCAACGCUUUUAUUUUUCAGUGAUUGGUUUGGGGGGGCACCAAAAUUCUGUUCGCCUACACUUGAAAAAUACCUAGGGCCGGCUCUGCUGUUAGGUGGAUAUCUAAUUGGCUCACUGACCAAACCCAAAUGAUUCUUCUUUAUCCUGAAUGAAAGUGGCAAGUUGGAUGCCACAGAGAAUUGUCCUGGGCCCAGUAUUAUUCUACAUCUUUAUCAAUGACUUGGAUAAUGGAAUAGAAGCAUGCUUAUCAAAUUUGUAGAUGACACCAAAUUGGGUGGAGUAGCUGAUACUCUAAAGCAGAGUUUCUCAAACUGUGCUCCCCCAGAUGUUUUGGACUUCAGCUCCCACAAUUCCUAACAGCUGUUAAGAUGGCUGGGAUUUCAGGGAGCUGAAAUCAAAAACACCUGGAGGAGCACAAUGUGAGAAACACUGCUCUAGAGGACAGGAUCAGAAUUCAAAGUAACCUUAACUAAUUGAAGAGUUGGGCCAAUGCUAAAAAAAUUAAUUUCAGCAGGGACAAACAUAAGGUACUACAUGUAGGCAGAAAAAAAAUGAAAUGCACAGAUAUAGGAUGAAUGACACCUGGUUUGAAAAUAGUACACGUUAAAGGGACCUAGGAGUCAAUAGUUUGAUGCAGCAGCUUAAAAAGCCAAUGUGAUUCUAGGCUGCACAAUGGAAGUACAGUGUACAGAAUGAGGGAAUAGUACAUCUUUAUUUUGCUUUGGUCUGACUUCGCUUGGCAUAAUGUCUGACUUCUCUGGGCACUGCAAUUCAAGAAGAUUGGAAUGUGUCCUCGCAGGGUGACCAAAAUGGAAAACAGUCUGGAAAUUGUGUACUAUGAGAAGCAGGAGUUUGGUAAGUUUAGUACAGAGAAGAGAAGGUUAAGAGUGGACAUGAUAGUUAUGUUUACAUAUUUGAAACAAUGCCAUAUUGAAGAUGGAACAAGCUUGUUUUCUGCUCCUCCAGAUACGAAGACAUGAAGCAAUGGAUUCAUAUUACAAGGACACAGAUUCCACCAAAACAUUAGGAAGAACUUCCUGAUGGUAAGAGCUGUUUAACAGUGGAUUACACUGCUUCGUAGUGAAAUCUCCUUCUUUGAAGGUUUUUAAGCAGAAGCUGGGUGGCCAUCUAUCGAGCAUGCUUUGAUUGUGUGGCAGGGGGUUGAACUGGAUGGUCCUUGUGGUCUGUUUCAACUCUAUGAUGAAAAAUGCAUUUUAACUGCUUGAAAAUAAAUCAAACCUUUCAAAGUUAAAAAACCUUCUAGUCACUGAAAAUAGGCGUCAUUAUCUUUUUCCUUUUUGUCCUUCAUAAGUCGUAUGUUCAUUGUGGAACAAUAAAAAUAUAUGCACCGAAAAAAUCAGGGACUAAAAAGAGAAAGAUAAGAAUUUUGGAGAAUGAAGCAAGAUGGAAUAUUUUAUUUUAAAAUGUUGGCAGCAGAAAAUAAAUGGUAGUGAAAGCCUUUCUUUUCACUGGUUGUCUUUAUAUUAUGUAAUACAAAGUAUGUUUUGCAUUUCACUUGAUCCACAUAGCAGUUAUAUAUUCUAAGCAACAAUUUCCAAGUGUAGAAUAAGAUUUCUAAAAACAGAGUCAGAUAUUAAACAGAUUAGUGGGGGGAAAUAAAGUACAAUUAAUGUGUGUAUGUGUGAUCAGCUGUUUCAGGGGUGAUUUUAUUAUUCUUUUAUACAUCCACACAGUAUAAUUGUAGCGAUGUGAAACUACUUUAACCAUUAUGGCUCCUUCCUUUGGAAUCCCUUAGAUUUGUAGUUUCAAGAGAAAUUUAGAAUUCCUUAGUAUGCUCUUCUGAACUGUAGUACUACAAUUCUCAAGCAGAGAAGUCAGGGUGUUAUCAUCCAACCAAACUACACUUUCUAGGACUUUCCAGGAAUGGGCCAUGGCAGCUUAAGAUCAAACUAUUACAUUUCUGCAGUGUGGGUACAGAGAUACAGAUUCAU
ensembl:lncRNA